rnacentral:rRNA from 1 species
CCUACGGGAGGCAGCAGUGGGGAAUAUUGGGCAAUGGUCGCAAGCCUGACCCAGCAACGCCGCGUGAAGGAAGAAGGCUUUCGGGUUGUAAACUUCUUUUCUCAGGGACGAAGAAAGUGACGGUACCUGAGGAAUAAGCCACGGCUAACUACGUGCCAGCAGCCGCGGUAAUACGGAGGUGGCAAGCGUUAUCCGGAUUUAUUGGGUGUAAAGGGCGUGUAGGCGGGAGCGUAAGUCAGAUGUGAAAACUCAGGGCUCAACCCUGGGCCUGCAUUGGAAACUGGGUUUCUUGAGUGCUGGGGAGGCAUGCGGAAUUCGGGGUGUAGCGGUGAAAUGCGUAGAUAUACGGAGGAACACCAGUGGCGAAGGCGGAUUGCUGGACAGUAACUGACGCUGAGGCGCGAAAGCGUGGGGAUCGAACAGGAUUAGAUACCCUAGUAGUC